UACGUAGGGGGCAAGCGUUGUCCGGAAUCAUUGGGCGUAAAGAGCGCGUAGGCGGCCCGGUAAGUCCGCUGUAAAAGUCCAGGGCUCAACCCUGGAAAGCCGGUGGAUACUGUCGGGCUAGAGUCCGGAAGAGGCGAGUGGAAUUCCAGGUGUAGCGGUGAAAUGCGUAGAUAUCUGGAGGAACACCGGUGGCGAAGGCGGCAUCCUGGACCGGCAUUGACGCUGAGGCGCGAAAGCUAGGGGAGCAAACGGG
rnacentral:rRNA from 1 species